AGAGUUUUAAAUCCUAAUCUAAGUAGAACUUAAAUAACAAAACCAAUUCUAAUUUAAAAUAAAUUCUAGAUUUCUAAGUUAUAUGGAAUAGAUUCUAAAUAAAGAGAAAUUAAAAUACUAAAAUAGAAAUAAGAGUUCUAAUUAAAAUAGAAUUGGAGAAAAUCAACUUUGAAAUUGGUAGUCUUCCACAUUCUGCCAAUACCAAAACAACUUAUACGAAGUUGGCAAAGCUUGAACUAAACACCGCUUCUCAACGUGACUAUGGUCCAAGCUUGACGGGACACAGGUCUUCAAUAGUGAUGUUAUACGCACAGCAUCAUAAACUUCAUUGAUUUAUUUAUUUUUUACAUUGGUAUAAACUAACCAAAUACAGUAAUGUACACUCUAAGGAAACUUUUAUUUCCAAUAAAAAAAGGUAAUAUUGCAUUUCUAAAAUCACUUGCAGGAAUUCAACUUUUCCAAGAAAGUGAUUUCGAAUAUA
rnacentral:misc_RNA from 1 species